CCGAUGUGGAAGCCUCGCCUUAUGCUCCCGUAAAGCGUGCACUCGGGGCUGCUGCCCAAGUCAUCGCAGGGGCUCCUCCUCUCCAUGUCGCCUCAGAGUGGUUUCCGAACCGUGCGAAGUAAUCUCCUCCACAUCCCAUUCUCUGCCUUCGUCGUGACCCUGACUAUAAUCUCGCAAUGAAGUCUUUCCGGGUUCGAAGUUGAGCAGCCAGUCAGGGUGACGCGUGUGCCGUGCCCGUAACGGAUGGAAGUUACGACGGACGCCCUUAUAGAAGCCACGAACGCUGUCCGAUAUUGAUUCUUCAGCAUUGAAGUCUGCUGGCUCUGAAGGCGAUCAUCAUGAAGACAGCCAUCAUUAUUCUGUUCGUUCU